AAAAAAACCAACUAACAUAUGUGUGUGAGUUUAAAUGUCAAACGACAUUUAAUUUUGGUCAGCAUCGUUUCUGCUAGAAUUCUUUUCAUAUUAUGUUGGUAGUAAGACGAACAAAAAAAAAACCAGAUGACCUUUUUUUUUUUGUUGCUGAUUUCAAAGAGAAAUUGUGAAACCAUAAAAUGUUGCUACAAAUUUGAAUGGCAAAAUUUAUUGGAUUUUCUUCAAAGUGACACUCACAUAAGCAUCUGCGUAUGUAUGUGAGUAUAAGCAAACAAUAGAUCUUGUGGUGAGUGAUAUGGAAUGGAGAAUGUAUAUACUCAUGAGACUUCAACGAAAUUUGGCAUUUUUCAUUGAAACUUGGGGAGGCAAAAAAUCAAUAUCAAAUCCAGGCGCAUUUUCUGAAUUUUCCAUGAUUUUUUAAAACUAUUUUCCAGUCAGAAUUUCUUGGAAUUUAAUAAUUAAUAAUCAUUUCUAUUGUUUAACAUGUAAAAACGCUUUAAGUUCGGGAAUGUCGAAUUUUAAAUACCUAGUGACAUGUAAGUUAAGUCUUCAGGACCAGAUCCGAAGGGCAACUAAUGAGUGAUGGUUACAUAGGGGAGUUAUGAAUGCUCCUGAAUUA
rnacentral:sRNA from 1 species